AACAAAUCAGAGCACGACACGGCUUUCCUGUUUAAUGACUGGAGACAAGACUAAUUAGUGAACAGUCUCUGCAGGAGUCCAAGCUGCCCCGAGAGGACGCAGUAAAAGAGAUCGCCCAAGAGAGGCCCGUAGGACGACACGGGAGGAAAGGGCAGGCAAAUGGCGCGAUGGGAAAAGCGCUGAUCCCUCCCUCCCAACACUCGCUCCGGGGAGGUCAGUCAGGUGACUUUGUGGCAGGGCAGCGAGCCGGUCAAGGAAGACGGAGAAAUGAAAGCUGCGUACAGGGCGGCAGCAUGUCCACAUCUCCACACGUCGGGUAGUUUAUGGUGAAUAUUUCCUGUUGACUUCCACACGUGACGGCACUUAGUCAUGAAUCAUCGGUGC
ensembl:lncRNA